GUUGAUCAUGGCUCAGGAUGAACGCUGGCGGCGUGCUUAACACAUGCAAGUCGAACGAAGCAACUUAUUACGAUCCCUUCGGGGUGACGAUUGUUGACUGAGUGGCGGACGGGUGAGUAACGCGUGGGUAACCUGCCUUGUACAGGGGGACAACAGUUGGAAACGACUGCUAAUACCGCAUAAGCGCACAGCUUCGCAUGAAGCAGUGUGAAAAGUAUUUUCGGUACAAGAUGGACCCCGCGUCUGAUUAGCUAGUUGGUGAGGUAACGGCCCACCAAGGCGACGAUCAGUAGCCGACCUGAGAGGGUGACCGGCCACAUUGGGACUGAGACACGGCCCAAACUCCUACGGGAGGCAGCAGUGGGGAAUAUUGCACAAUGGGCGAAAGCCUGAUGCAGCCGACGCCGCGUGAGCGAAGAAGUAUUUCGGUAUGUAAAGCUCUAUCAGCAGGGAAGAUAAUGACGGUACCUGACUAAGAAGCACCGGCUAAAUACGUGCCAGCAGCGGC
rnacentral:rRNA from 1 species